rnacentral:rRNA from 1 species
AGGCAGCAGUAGGGAAUNUUCCACAAUGGACGAAAGUCUGAUGGAGCAACGCCGCGUGAGUGAAGAAGGGUUUCGGCUCGUAAAGCUCUGUUGGUAGUGAAGAAAGAUAGAGGUAGUAACUGGCCUUUAUUUGACGGUAAUUACUUAGAAAGUCACGGCUAACUACGUGCC